UGCAAGUCGAACGCGUUGGCCCAAUUGAUUGAUGGUGCUUGCACCUGAUUGAUUUUGGUCGCCAACGAGUGGCGGACGGGUGAGUAACACGUAGGUAACCUGCCCAGAAGCGGGGGACAACAUUUGGAAACAGAUGCUAAUACCGCAUAACAGCGUUGUUCGCAUGAACAACGCUUAAAAGAUGGCUUCUCGCUAUCACUUCUGGAUGGACCUGCGGUGCAUUAGCUUGUUGGUGGGGUAACGGCCUACCAAGGCGAUGAUGCAUAGCCGAGUUGAGAGACUGAUCGGCCACAAUGGGACUGAGACACGGCCCAUACUCCUACGGGAGGCAGCAGUAGGGAAUCUUCCACAAUGGGCGCAAGCCUGAUGGAGCAACACCGCGUGAGUGAAGAAGGGUUUCGGCUCGUAAAGCUCUGUUGUUAAAGAAGAACACGUAUGAGAGUAACUGUUCAUACGUUGACGGUAUUUAACCAGAAAGUCACGGCUAACUACGUGCCAGCAGCCGCGGUAAUACGUAGGUGGCAAGCGUUAUCCGGAUUUAUUGGGCGUAAAGAGAGUGCAGGCGGUUUUCUAAGUCUGAUGUGAAAGCCUUCGGCUUAACCGGAGAAGUGCAUCGGAA
rnacentral:rRNA from 2 species